ACGCCCUUAGCUCAGAUGGAUAGAGCAACAACCUUCUAAGUUGUAGGUCAUAGGUUCAAAUCCUAUAGGGCGUA
rnacentral:tRNA from 1 species